GGGUGUGAGGGAGAUCUGGUUGCGACAUCUGUCACCCCAUUGAUCGCCAGGGUUGAUUCGGCUGAUCUGGCUGGCUAGGCGGGCGUCCCCUUCCUCCCUCAACGAUCCAUGUGCGUCCCUCCCAAAGCUGCACACUCGGUCGAAGAAGACGACUACCCCCGAUAGAGGAGGACCGUUCCUUGGUCAAGGGUAUACGAGUAGCUGCACUCCCCUGCUAGAACCUCCAAACAAGCUCUCAAAAAAAACAAGUACAGGAGUUUCUGGGGGCAGUUGGAUACUGAUACUGUAGGCUAUGGAUUCUAAAUUUUA
ensembl:misc_RNA 7SK 7SK RNA